rnacentral:lncRNA from 1 species
AAGAAUAUUUUGAAUUUAUUUUUUUUAGAGAAACAUAUAGCAAACUAACCGUUUUGUUUUUAAAAAUAAAUUUAAUUGAAAAUUAAUAUGAAGUAAUCAAGGUUCGAAGUUAGAAUAUCAGAUAUCAAUUAUUAAAUAUUUUGCCGCCUGCGCUGAGAUGAUUAAUAAUAUUUUGAUUUUGUUACUUUUUCAACCUUUUUUCUAGUUUUCCUUUCGUCGCAAGAGAAAUAGAAGAGGAAAGAAACUGACCGUUCCCGGCGUAAGUGGCAAAAGGGCUUGGUGGUUGGUUCUCGAGACCCAAAUUCGAAUCCAAGUUGAUUCACAUUUCUAGCUAAGUUUAUUUUUAAAUGAAAUAAACGAAGCGGGUAGCCUGCUACUGUCACGCCCCGGAUUACACUUUCCCCGGGCGCGCCGACAAAUCCGCCGUAUACAAAGGAAUUUCCCCUGUAUACGAAGCGAUAGCUGUACCAGAAAAUCAAACACUACCACGAACAGUAGUAGAGAGCUGCUGGAGAGAACAGAAGCUAAACAAACUGAGUUUCAUAUACAUAGUCCAGAUCCAAAAUACAAAGCUACUCGCACUGGCGAGUUAAGUCCACUAUGUACAUAAACUCGAAACAAAACAUCUACCUGCAGUAGGAGCACCUCUAGCUCAGCACGUCGGGUAGGGCUCUAACUCGCAACGCCCUUGCCUCGAUCCUGAUCCGCAGACGGUGCAGCAGCCGGAACCUGUGGCUCUGCAAAAACAUAGGUAACAACUGGGCGUGAGAACUACUGUAAAAACAAGUAGUCCUCAGUGGGUACCGCCCAAAACAACAUCGGUCUACCCACUAAGUCUACAGAAGGGAGCAAGAAUAGUAGUGAAAUGCAGGAAUAAAGUCUACCGCUAUCAAAUACUACACUAUCAUGCUCUACACUAACCAACUGUAGGAAAUGUCCAACCUGACCCAAUCCAAUCGGGACUGUAAGCAUACCCGUCCCCGGGACUGUGAAUACACCCGUCCCUGCCCCGUUGUGACUGUCAAGCUCUAUCCACACUAACUGGUCCGUGGAGAGCAAGUCCAACUGGCAUGAGCGACACCAACGCGAAAGCACAAAGCCUGACUCCGGAGUGGCACUCGUGGGCGCUACCCAACCGAGUAUGCAGCGUAUCUCUGUCGAGCUCAAACAGGCUCCAACUAGCCAAAGUCAAGUAAACAGGGUCAAAACAGGUCUACAAACCAAACCCACGUGCCCUCGGCACAAUCUGUGACCAAAACAAGAAUCUGGGUCCACCGCUAACCCGAACGGCACCCAACGACCCGAAACAGCCUAAACUCUGCUGAAAAAUAAGCUCGGCAUCUCAGCACGAGCGUAAAUGCCUUCUAAACUACCUGGGGUACUCACAACCCGAAUACAAUAACUGUAUAAAAAUACAACGGCCCCUAAGGCUAAAUCAGGUAGUUAACAUAUGCCGAUCGUUAUCGCGUUUUCUCCUAAGUCAAAUCCAAGUCCAACAUGUAUGUUCAUAUUUAUUAAUCAUGUUCUCAAAUCGUAUUUAUCCAAGAUAUAAUCAAUGAGAUAGAGCUACACAUGAUUUAUACAACUACAAAUCAUACAUGUCGACUAAUGCUAUACUUAGGAAUAAACCGAUGUAACCCACCUCAAAAGCUAAUUCAGAAUAGCGAGAAGUCGAUAGAAGAAGAAAUUUUCGCGCAUGCUCGGCCUCCCAACGGCACUACCACGACGCACGCACGCUCCAACGGCUCGCCGGCGCGAAGUUGACGUCACUCCAAGCUCCACUAUAGCCUCCACGAGUUCUCCCUUUCAAACUAGAGAGAGAGAGAAAUUGUAAAUCACAAUUUCCCUCUGCAUCUCAAAGCCAUAUAGGCUACAAGAUAAGGAUGCAUGGGGGUGCACGUGGCAUCCAAAGCCACCCCCAUGCAUCACCAACCGACUACAAAGAAGUAAAUAAAUAAAUAAAUAAAAUAAAACAAGGAUACUACAUC